AUUGAACGCUGGCGGCAUGCCUUACACAUGCAAGUCGAACGGUAACAGGUCUUCGGAUGCUGACGAGUGGCGAACGGGUGAGUAAUACAUCGGAACGUGCCCGAUCGUGGGGGAUAACGGAGCGAAAGCUUUGCUAAUACCGCAUAAGAUCUACGGAUGAAAGCAGGGGACCGCAAGGCCUUGUGCGAACGGAGCGGCCGAUGGCAGAUUAGGUAGUUGGUGGGAUAAAAGCUUACCAAGCCGACGAUCUGUAGCUGGUCUGAGAGGACGACCAGCCACACUGGGACUGAGACACGGCCCAGACUCCUACGGGAGGCAGCAGUGGGGAAUUUUGGACAAUGGGCGCAAGCCUGAUCCAGCCAUGCCGCGUGCAGGAUGAAGGCCUUCGGGUUGUAAACUGCUUUUGUACGGAACGAAAAGACUCUUUCUAAUAAAGAGAGUCCAUGACGGUACCGUAAGAAUAAGCACCGCCUAACUACGUGCCAGCCGCCGCGGUAACAC
rnacentral:rRNA from 1 species